rnacentral:rRNA from 1 species
GAACCUGAAACCGUGUACGUACAAGCAGUGGGAGCACCCUUUGGGUGUGACUGCGUACCUUUUGUAUAAUGGGUCAGCGACUUAUAUUCUGUAGCAAGGUUAACCGAAUAGGGGAGCCGGAGGGAAACCGAGUCUUAAUUGGGCGUUAAGUUGCAGGGUAUAGACCCGAAACCCGGUGAUCUAGCCAUGGGCAGGUUGAAGGUUGGGUAACACUAACUGGAGGACCGAACCGACUAAUGUUGAAAAAUUAGCGGAUGACCUGUGGCUGGGGGUGAAAGGCCAAUCAAACCGGGAGAUAGCUGGUUCUCCCCGAAAGCUAUUUAGGUAGCGCCUCGUGAAUUCAUCUCCGGGGGUAGAGCACUGUUUCGGCUAGGGGGCCAUCCCGGCUUACCAACCCGAUGCAAACUGCGAAUACCGGAGAAUGUUAUCACGGGAGACACACGGCGGGUGCUAACGUCCGUCGUGAAGAGGGAAACAACCCAGACCGCCAGCUAAGGUCCCAAAGUCAUGGUUAAGUGGGAAACGAUGUGGGAAGGCCCAGACAGCCAGGAUGUUGGCUUAGAAGCAGCCAUCAUUUAAAGAAAGCGUAAUAGCUCACUGGUCGAGUCGGCCUGCGCGGAAGAUGUAACGGGGCUAAACCAUGCACCGAAGCUGCGGCAGCGACACUGUGUGUUGUUGGGUAGGGGAGCGUUCUGUAAGCCUGUGAAGGUGUGUCGUGAGGCAUGCUGGAGGUAUCAGAAGUGCGAAUGCUGACAUAAGUAACGAUAAAGCGGGUGAAAAGCCCGCUCGCCGGAAGACCAAGGGUUCCUGUCCAACGUUAAUCGGGGCAGGGUGAGUCGACCCCUAAGGCGAGGCCGAAAGGCGUAGUCGAUGGGAAACGGGUUAAUAUUCCCGUACUUGGUGUUACUGCGAAGGGGGGACGGAGAAGGCUAUGUUGGCCGGGCGACGGUUGUCCCGGUUUAAGCGUGUAGGUGUGUGUUCCAGGUAAAUCCGGUUCACUUUAACACUGAGGCGUGACGACGAGGCACUACGGUGCUGAAGCAACAAAUGCCCUGCUUCCAGGAAAAGCCUCUAAGCAUCAGGUAACAUCAAAUCGUACCCCAAACCGACACAGGUGGUCAGGUAGAGAAUACCAAGGCGCUUGAGAGAACUCGGGUGAAGGAACUAGGCAAAAUGGUGCCGUAACUUCGGGAGAAGGCACGCUGACACGUAGGUGAAGUGAUUUACUCAUGGAGCUGAAGUCAGUCGAAGAUACCAGCUGGCUGCAACUGUUUAUUAAAAACACAGCACUGUGCAAACACGAAAGUGGACGUAUACGGUGUGACGCCUGCCCGGUGCCGGAAGGUUAAUUGAUGGGGUCAGCGCAAGCGAAGCUCCUGAUCGAAGCCCCGGUAAACGGCGGCCGUAACUAUAACGGUCCUAAGGUAGCGAAAUUCCUUGUCGGGUAAGUUCCGACCUGCACGAAUGGCGUAAUGAUGGCCAGGCUGUCUCCACCCGAGACUCAGUGAAAUUGAACUCGCUGUGAAGAUGCAGUGUACCCGCGGCAAGACGGAAAGACCCCGUGAACCUUUACUAUAGCUUGACACUGAACAUUGAGCCUUGAUGUGUAGGAUAGGUGGGAGGCUUUGAAGUGUGGACGCCAGUCUGCAUGGAGCCGACCUUGAAAUACCACCCUUUAAUGUUUGAUGUUCUAACGUGGACCCGUUACCCGGGUUGCGGACAGUGUCUGGUGGGUAGUUUGACUGGGGCGGUCUCCUCCUAAAGAGUAACGGAGGAGCACGAAGGUUGGCUAAUCCUGGUCGGACAUCAGGAGGUUAGUGCAAUGGCAUAAGCCAGCUUGACUGCGAGCGUGACGGCGCGAGCAGGUGCGAAAGCAGGUCAUAGUGAUCCGGUGGUUCUGAAUGGAAGGGCCAUCGCUCAACGGAUAAAAGGUACUCCGGGGAUAACAGGCUGAUACCGCCCAAGAGUUCAUAUCGACGGCGGUGUUUGGCACCUCGAUGUCGGCUCAUCACAUCCUGGGGCUGAAGUAGGUCCCAAGGGUAUGGCUGUUCGCCAUUUAAAGUGGUACGCGAGCUGGGUUUAGAACGUCGUGAGACAGUUCGGUCCCUAUCUGCCGUGGGCGCUGGAGAACUGAGGGGGGCUGCUCCUAGUACGAGAGGACCGGAGUGGACGCAUCACUGGUGUUCGGGUUGUCAUGCCAAUGGCACUGCCCGGUAGCUAAAUGCGGAAGAGAUAAGUGCUGAAAGCAUCUAAGCACGAAACUUGCCCCGA